GCCAGCAUGGCCUAGUGGUAAGAGUGCUAGACUAUGAUUUUGGAGACCAGGGUUCAGUUCUCAAUUCGGCCA